ACAAAAAAGACGAAAGCGGCCGAACAGCUCUUCAUGUCGCUGCUGAGAAUGGUAAUUUGGACGACGUUGAAAAGCUAAUUGCGAAAGGAGCUAAAGUUGAUUCGACAGACAAAGAACAGCGCAAACCUCUUCAUAUGGCUGCUAUGAAUGGUCACUCGAAUGUCGUUGACUUUCUCAUCACGAAAGGAGCCAAUAUUAAUUCGGAAAAUAACAUUCAUCAGACACCUCUUCAUUUGGCUGUUGAGAAUGG